rnacentral:rRNA from 1 species
UAGGGAAUCUUCCGCAAUGGGCGAAAGCCUGACGGAGCAACGCCGCGUGAGUGAUGAAGGUCUUCGGAUCGUAAAACUCUGUUAUUAGGGAAGAACAAAUGUGUAAGUAACUAUGCACGUCUUGACGGUACCUAAUCAGAAAGCCACGGCUAACUACGUGCCAGCAGCCGCGGUAAUACGUAGGUGCAAGCGUUAUCCGGAAUUAUUGGGCGUAAAGCGCGCGUAGGCGGUUUUUUAAGUCUGAUGUGAAAGCCCACGGCUCAACCGUGGAGGGUCAUUGGAAACUGGAAAACUUGAGUGCAGAAGAGGAAAGUGGAAUUCCAUGUGUAGCGGUGAAAUGCGCAGAGAUAUGGAGGAACACCAGUGGCGAAGGCGACUUUCUGGUCUGUAACUGACGCUGAUGUGCGAAAGCGUGGGGAUCAAACAGG